rnacentral:piRNA from 1 species
UGAAAAUUCGAUUAGACAAAGAUUUCUUAC